GAGGGAAUGACUGGUGACAGAGUGAGAGAGGGGGUGAAUAGUGACCGAGUGAGGGAGGGAGAGGGUGACUAGUGACAGAGUGAGGAAGGGGGUGACACAGUGAUAGUCACCCCAUUCCUCCCUCUGUCACUAAUCACCACCUCCCUCACUCUCACUAGUCACCCCUUCCCUCCCUCACUCUGUCACUAGUCACACCCUCCCUCUCUCUGUCACUAGUCACACCCUCCCUCUCUCUGUCACUAGAGUGAGGG